rnacentral:lncRNA from 1 species
GCCAAACCUGCAGCAUAUGGAGGUUCCCACUAGAGGUUGAAUCAGAGCCCUAGCCACCAUUCUACACCACAGCAACGUCUCAGAGCUGAGUUGCAUAUGUGACCUAUGCUACAGCUCACCGCAACGCUAGAUCCUUCAACCAUUACAGUUUAAUCCACUGAGCAAGGCCAGGGAUCAAACUUGCAUCAUCACAGAGACUAGUCGGGUUCUUAACCCGCUGAGCCACAACAGGAACUCCUAAAAAUAACUUUAAAAACAAAACCUUCCAACCCUACAGAGGCAGCCCUUUAUGAGUUCCCGUCGUGGCGCAGUGGUUAACGAAUCCAACUAGGAACCAUGAGGUUUUAGGUUCGCUCCCUGGCCUUGCUCAGUGGGUUAAGGAUCCGGCAUUGCCGUGAGCCGUGGUGUAGGUUGCAGACGCAGCUCAGAUCCCGCGUUGCUGUGGCUCUGGCAUAGGCCGGUGUCUACAGCUCUGCUUAGACCCCUAGCCUGGGAACCUCCAUAUGCCACGUGAGCGGCUCAAGAAAAGGCAAAAAGACAAAAACAAAAAACAAAAAGAGGCUUCAAUCUGUGUGGAAGGGGGAAAAUAUUAAUUUCUACUUGCAUAUUGAUGCUUCAAUCAAAAUCUCCAUAGCAUUCACAAGCAACUAACCACAGUAGUCUCUUAUUUUGUGUGAUGCGGCAGGACUAUGUAGCAAAUAGUGGGCUCCUAGAAAUGGAGCCCCUGGGCCAAUGGAUAAAUGCACAUGUAAUUUUGUUAGGUAUUACUGGAUUCCCCUAUGUAAGGACUGUAAUCACUCUGCACUACCACCAGUUAGGCAUGAGAAUGUCUGUUCUCCACAGCAUCUCCAACAGUAAAAUUUUUAGAUUUUUUUGUUAAGCUGGUAAGACAUAAUACCACAGUGUGGUUUUUAAAUUCAGGUUUGUUGAGGUAUAAUUUACAUAAAAUAAUAUUCACUUGUUUGACUUACAGUCUGCUGAGUUUUGACAAACAUAUAUUCAUGUAACACCACCACAACCAAAGUAUAGGACAUUUUCAUUAUCCCAAAUGGUACUCUCAUUCCAAUCCUACCACCCCUACUCCCUGACUCACUUCUGUCCCUACACUUUUGCCUUUUUCAGAUCUCAUAAACAGAAUCACAGUAUAAAGCUUUUUGUCUGACAUCUUUCACAUAGCAUGAUUUGGGUAUCAACAGUUUCUCUUUAAUUGCUGAGCAGUACUUCAUUGUAUCACAUCACCCACUGCGUGGUUUUAAUUUGAACCACUGAUUCAAAUUCACUGGUUUUGAGUGGGGCUGAGCAUCUUUAAAUAUACUUAAAAGCCAUUUGACAUUAUUUCUGUGAACUGGAUGUUUCAGUUCCUUCCUAAUCUUUUACUGGGUUUCUGAUCUCUUGUAUUUUUUGAGAGAUCUUUGUUUAUCAAUGAGGUUAGCCCCUUGUGACAGAGUUUACAAAUACUAUUUCCAGUUUGCUAUUGACUUUAUAGUAUUUUUGGUAUGCAAAUGCCCUUUAAUUUUUUAUGCAGUCGCACUUAUUGAUCUUUAAUAGAGUGAGCCAGAGUUUGAAAGCCUUUUGACACUACCAAGUUAUAAAGGAAUGCAUCCAAUUUUUUCUAGCUCUUGAAUGGUUUAAUUUCUUACAUUACAGUUGACCCUUGAAUGGGGGGCGGGGAAGAGUCAGGGGAAGGUUUAAGGGUGCUGACCUUCCCUGUGUAGAAAAUCCACAUGUAACUAUAGUCAGCCCUCCCCAUUGGUAGUUCCCCAUUAUGAAUUCAACAAACUGCAGUUCAAAUGUCAACUGUAUAUCUCUGAUCAACGUGAAUGUAUUUUGGUGUACAGUGUGGGGUUUAGAUCCAAUAUUAUUUUUUUCCAAAGUUCCAUCCAAUGAUCUCAAUACUACUUAUUUAAAAAGUCCAUCUUUACCCCAGUAAUUUGAGAUGGUACUAUCCAUAAAAACAAAUCUCCAUUAAGUAUAUAAGGCUAUUUUCAGAGUUUCUACUCUGUUCUGGUGAUUUGUAUAUAUGGUGUUGCCACACCACUAUUUACUAAUUGUAGAGAUGUUAUAGUAUAUUUCGAUAUUUGAUGGGGCUAGCCACAUUCAGCUCACUGGUCUUCUUCUUCAGGGAUUUCCUGAUAAUGCCUGCUUGUUUAUUUUUCCAUAUAAAUUUUAUAAUUAAUCUGUCUCCUAGACAAAAAAACCCAUUUGGUAUUUUUAUCAGCAUUUGGUUUAUUUUUGAACAUGGGGAAAAAAACUGACAUCUUUGUGACACCGAAAUAUUCUUUUCAAGAAUACAGAGUAUCUUUCAAUUUGUUCAAGUUUACAUUUGCGUAUUCUAGGAAUUUAGGACAUAUAACUUUUAAACUUCUGCAUUAACUUAUUCCUAGGUAUUUCUUUUCAUUGCUAUUGAAAAUGACCAUCUUCUAGGUGGCCACUAUUUGUACAUAUGUUAAGGUUAGAUUUUUAGGUAUUAAUUUGAAGAAAACACUUUCAACUGCACAACUUACAGUAAUUUAACUUCAAACUAGAUAAAAAAUUAUUAGAUUCACAAGCAUGUUAUAUCUGAGUUCAAAGUAGGUUUAGAGUUUUGGUCUUGUUUUCUGUGGCAAGUAUUUAUAUCAUAAAAUUCAUCCACACUAACUGCAUUUUCUAUUAAUAAUCCUAGGAAGGAUAAAAUAAACCUAAGGGAUAAAACUAGACAUCUUCAAGAUGGUCUUCUUGACAUUAAAAUGAACACAAAUAGAAGAGAAUGCUCAUAUCAGGGUCUGUAUGGAGAGAACUUUAGAAGUGAGCAUGAUAGUACCGUCACUUUUUAAAAACAUGAAACAGAUGGAUUUAAACUGAGUGGAGAGAAAGAAGUACUCACUGUUUCUCCUAUAUGACAGAGAUACUAAUAAAGACAUUUGAACAUUAAGAAAGAUCUACCUUAAGCUGAUAUAGGAUGCUUAAAUAUUAUAAUAUUUGAUCUAAAAACAUUUUCAUCUAUUAUACUAUGCUCUACUACCGACCAGUCACAGAAGUGAAGACUCAGAAUUUCACUGGAAAAAAAUCGUAACACGAAGCAAUAAACACACAACAUAUAAGAAGUUCACUGUUCGUACACACUGCUCAACAAUUUUACUACAUACCCAUUUUUAUAAGGUGGAACAUGUUUCCAUGACUGUAUUAUUUUCAACAAUGAAAUAGUAUAUAGGUUUUUUUCCUUUCUUUUCUUCUUCCCUCACCUUGUUUUGUUUUUAACUUUAUAGGUGUGCCAUCAAGGUAUUCUAGCAUUUCAGUACAGGCUCAAUGAUUAUUUGUUGACUGCUUCCUAACCACUUUAAUGACCAAUCUUAAAAUCUGACACUGUUUGAAAACAGUAUGUACUUUGGAAUCUUUCCCCGCCACCACUUAACCUUAUAAGAAGUGAGUUGCAAGAAAAAUCAGAGAAACCAGAAAACUUUAUUUAUUAUGAAUGACAAGGAAAGGAGAACUAAAAAGUCACUGUACUACUUGGGUUUAACCAAAUAUCCCCUUUAGCGCCAAGUCUUACCUCUAAUAAUAUCUGAGGAGAUUCUAUAUGAGUGAAAACAGAAAAUGCAAUUACAUUUUAUUGCAAGAAAUUUGGAAAACGUAUUUUUAACAAAGUUAGCUAUUCAAAAGUGUUACCUUAGGCUGUCUCUUAAUAGCUCCUUUUCACGAGUGUGAAAUUUAAUGAAGGCAACAGCAUUUAUAAGCAAGACCAAAUGGUAUCUUAAUUACUAGCUGUGUUUUCUUAGGCAACCAGAGAUUAAAUGAAAAGAGAAAUUAGUUUUACAAAUGGCAUCAUACAUCUUUAUGUACACCCCCCUCCAUCAAGUCACAGAUGGUUAUGUGUUUUGAACUUCCUAAUAUUGUAAGCAAUUUUCUUUUCCUUGGGCACACCCCAAUCCAUCACAACUCUUAAAUUAUAUAUUAAAUCACUUACAAGGACUGACGCUGUUAAUCAGUGAUUUAACAUUUACUGGCCACAUGAAAAGGGCUUUUCCCUUACUGGGCUCUAUACAAAUAUAAAGUUUAAAAUUUUUGAAACUACUGGCCCUAGAGGUUGGGAGUGUACUCUUUACAUACAGUUUGGAGGAAUACUUUGACUUGAUCUAAUGACUUAACUAACUCUAAUAAAGAGUUCCUGGUUCAGUUACUACUGCCAAAUCUAACAGCCAAACCCUGGGGUAAGGUCAUGACCAAUGUUACUUCUACCUGUCAUGUAACUCAUGUCUUAAACUAGGGACUCCUGAGGGCUCAUUCGGGACUGCUCUCUUCAGUCCCAAAGAUAAGUGUCUCUAAAACUUAGGUAUUAAAAAUAGCCCAGAAGAGUUCCCUGGUGGCCUAGCAGUUAAAGGACCCAGGAUUUUCACUGCUAUGAUGAGUUCAAUCCCUGGCCUGGGAAGUUUCACAUACUGAUACUGUGGGCACAGCCAAAAAAAAAAAAAAAAAAA